rnacentral:rRNA from 1 species
UACGUAGGGGGCAAGCGUUGUCCGGAAUCAUUGGGCGUAAAGAGCGUGUAGGCGGCUCGGUAAGUCUGCUGUGAAAGUCCAGGGCUCAACCCUGGAAUGCCGGUGGAAACUGUCGGGCUCGAGUCCGGAAGAGGCGAGUGGAAUUCCUGGUGUAGCGGUGAAAUGCGCAGAUAUCAAGAGGAACACCAAUGGCGAAGGCAGCUCGCUGGGACGGUACUGACGCUGAGACGCGAAAGCGUGGGAGCAAACAGG